UAGGGAAUCUUCGGCAAUGGGGGGAACCCUGACCGAGCAACGCCGCGUGAGUGAAGAAGGUUUUCGGAUCGUAAAGCUCUGUUGUUAGGGAAGAACAAAUGUGUAAGUAACUAUGCACGUCUUGACGGUAUCUAACCAGAAAGCCACGGCUAACUACGUGCCAGCAGCCGCGGUAAUACGUAGGUGGCAAGCGUUGUCCGGAUUUAUUGGGCGUAAAGCGAGCGCAGGCGGUCAAUUAAGUCUGAUGUGAAAGCCCCCGGCUCAACCGGGGAGGGUCAUUGGAAACUGGUUGACUUGAGUGCAGAAGAGGAGAGUGGAAUUCCAUGUGUAGCGGUGAAAUGCGUAGAUAUAUGGAGGAACACCAGUGGCGAAGGCGACUCUCUGGUCUGUAACUGACGCUGAGGCUCGAAAGCGUGGGUAGCAAACAGG
rnacentral:rRNA from 1 species